GGAGGGAUGCGAGAGCGGCCGAAUCGGACGGUCUCGAAAACCGUUGAGCCUCCGGGUUCCGUGGGUUCAAAUCCCACUCCCUCCG
rnacentral:tRNA from 1 species